UGCAGGAGGGACUUCACAAAAUAGAUAGUUUUCCUUCCUCAUGAUGCCAUGUAGAUAUAUAUUGAAGCAACAUCUCAAGACAUCAGUCAGGAAGUUAAAGCUUGGUCGCAAAUGGGUCUUCCAAAUGGACAAUGACCCCAAGCAUACUUCCAAAGUUGUGGCAAAAAAGACAACAAAGUCAAGGUAUUGGAGUGGCCAUCACAAAGCCCUGACCUCAAUCCUAUAGAACAUUUGUGGGCAGAACUGAAAAAGCAUGUGCGAGCAAGGAGGCCUACAAACCUGACUCAGUUACACCAGCUCUGUCAGGAGAAAUGGGCCAGAAUUCACCCAACUUAUUGUGGGAAGCUUGUGGAAGGCUACCCAAAACGUUUGACCCAAGUUAAACAAUUUAAAGGCAAUGCUACCAAAUACUAAUUGAGUGCAUGUAAACUUCUGACCCACUGGGAAUGCGAUGAAAGAAAUAAAAGCUGAAAUAAAUAAUUCUCUAGUAUUAUUCUGACAUUUCACAUUCUUAAAAUAAAGUGGUGAUCCUAACUGACCUACGACAGGGAGUUUAAAUGUAUUUGGCUAAGGUGUAUGUAAACUUCCGACUUCAACUGUACAUCCCUGGUUUACGGAGUGUUGUUGAAUAGACCUGCGAAAUGCAAUCUUUCCUCAAUCAGAACUGGCUAUACUGGCACAGCCUUACCGUAGAGUUGAGUUAACUGGUCCUGUGCUCCACUAUCCUUAUCUCUCAUGGUGAUCUACAUGGAUUGGUUUGUUACUUGUGCUGUUCUCUUCUCUUCUCUGUGUUACACAGGCAGAUGUUUCUCUGCUCUAAAAACUGGAAAACAAAAUGGCAGUGAAAAGUUGAGGAUUUUUGCUCCGUCGUGGUUUUGAACAGUGCUGUAUCAGUCAUAUCUUACUCAAUAAUGUUUACAAUUGCAUUGCUUUCUCUUUUCUAAAAGAACCAUUUUGAAUUUCCCCUUUAUAUUGCACUGUGUUGUACAAAUGUGCUGAAUGUUUUAGUUUUAGAGGCUUUUUUGUAAUGUAUUUAUGUUUUUACAGCACUUUUCCUCGUCCAAACUCAUCCCUUGAAAGAGUUGCUGAUCAAUUUCAACCUUUUCACAUUAAUUGAAAACAUUUUGUGAAUGAUUCCUAAUGGAAAGUAAUAAUGAAUGUCAGAUCUUUUCUUUUUUUAAUUUCAAUCUCAAAUUCCACUACACACUUGUCCAAACUAUGCAUGGGAAAUAAACGUCCUGAGAGACAUUAAAGAGUGUCAAACGUC
rnacentral:lncRNA from 1 species